UACGUAGGGGGCGAGCGUUGUCCGGAAUCAUUGGGCGUAAAGCGCGUGUAGGCGGCUCGGUAAGUCUGCUGUGAAAGUCCAGGGCUCAACCCUGGGAUGCCGGUGGAUACUGUCGGGCUCGAGUCCGGAAGAGGCGAGUGGAAUUCCUGGUGUAGCGGUGGAAUGCGCAGAUAUCAGGAGGAACACCGAUGGCGAAAGCGGCGUGCUGGGUCCCUUCUGACGCUGAGGCGCGAAAGCCAGGGGAGCAAACGGG
rnacentral:rRNA from 1 species